rnacentral:rRNA from 1 species
UACGUAGGUGGCAAGCGUUACUCGGAAUCACUAGGCGUAAAGCGCACGUAGGCGGACUCUUAAGUCGGUGGUGAAAUCCUGGAGCUCAACUCCAGAACUGCCUUCGAUACUGAGAGUCUCGAGUCCGGGAGAGGUGAGUGGAACUGCGAGUGUAGAGGUGAAAUUCGUAGAUAUUCGCAAGAACACCAGUGGCGAAGGCGGCUCACUGGCCCGGUACUGACGCUGAGGUGCGAAAGCGUGGGGAGCAAACAGG